CUACGGGGUGCUGCAGUGGGGAAUAUUGCACAAUGGGCGCAAGCCUGAUGCAGCCAUGCCGCGUGUAUGAAGAAGGCCUUCGGGUUGUAAAGUACUUUCAGCGGGGAGGAAGGGAGUAAAGUUAAUACCUUUGCUCAUUGACGUUACCCGCAGAAGAAGCACCGGCUAAAGCCGUGCCAGCAGCCGCGGUAAUACGGAGGGUGCAAGCGUUAAUCGGAAUUACUGGGCGUAAAGCGCACGCAGGCGGUUUGUUAAGUCAGAUGUGAAAUCCCCGGGCUCAACCGGGGAACUGCAUCUGAUACUGGCAAGCUUGAGUCUCGUAGAGGGGGGUAGAAUUCCAGGUGUAGCGGUGAAAUGCGUAGAGAUCUGGAGGAAUACCGGUGGCGAAGGCGGCCCCCUGGACGAAGACUGACGCUCAGGUGCGAAAGCGUGGGGAGCAAACAGGAUUAGAUACCCCGGUAGUC
rnacentral:rRNA from 1 species